rnacentral:misc_RNA from 1 species
GUCUCCUUUGCGCUUCCAACAUGCUGGAGGCGAACCGAAAUAUUGGAAGGUGGUAUCAAAUUGAACUGAAUUGGGUUUAAGGGUAAGAAAACAUUAGUUGGAAUCUAGAUGCAAAGAGUGCAAGAAAAAAAAAAUCAAGCAGAACCCAAAAGAAUGUUGAAUGUUAUGGUUGGAGAGAUGCGUUUCGGCGUACAUUCACAAUCUUGAAAUGCUUGCGAGUGUGUUGAACUAGUUUAAUGGGAAUUGCAGAGUGUUAGGUUU